rnacentral:rRNA from 1 species
CCUACGGGUGGCAGCAGUGGGGAAUAUUGCACAAUGGGGGAAACCCUGAUGCAGCGACGCCGCGUGAGUGAAGAAGUAUCUCGGUACGUAAAGCUCUAUCAGCAGGGAAGAAAAUGACGGUACCUGACUAAGAAGCCCCGGCUAACUACGUGCCAGCAGCCGCGGUAAUACGUAGGGGGCAAGCGUUAUCCGGAUUUACUGGGUGUAAAGGGAGCGUAGACGGCAGCACAAGUCUGGAGUGAGAUCCCGGGGCUUAACCCCGGAACUGCUUUGGAAACUGUGCGGCUGGAGUGUAGGUGGGGUAGGCGGAAUGCCUGGUGUAGCGGUGAAAUGCGUAGAGAUUAUACAGAACACCGAUGGCGAAGGCGGCUUAC